AUACGUAGGGUGCGAGCGUUAAUCGGAAUUACUGGGCGUAAAGCGUGCGCAGGCGGUUUUGUAAGACAGUGGUGAAAUCCCCGGGCUCAACCUGGGAACUGCCAUUGUGACUGCAAGGCUGGAGUGCGGCAGAGGGGGAUGGAAUUCCGCGUGUAGCAGUGAAAUGCGUAGAUAUGCGGAGGAACACCGAUGGCGAAGGCAAUCCCCUGGGCCUGCACUGACGCUCAUGCACGAAAGCGUGGGGAGCAAACAGGAUUAGAUACCCUGGUAGUCCACGCCCUAAACGAUGUCAACUGGUUGUUGGGGAUUUAUUUUCUCAGUAACGAAGCUAACGCGUGAAGUUGACCGCCUGGGGAGUACGGCCGCAAGGUUAAAACUCAAAUGAAUUGACGGGG
rnacentral:rRNA from 1 species